rnacentral:pre_miRNA from 1 species
CUACUACUCCCUCCGUCCGAAAAUACUUGUCCUCCAAAUAGUUGUAUCUAGACUUAUUUUAGUUAUAGAUACAUUCAUUUUAUCCAUUUUUAGGACAAGUAUUUCCGGACGGAGGGAGUAUAAA